rnacentral:rRNA from 1 species
GACGAACGCUGGCGGCGUGCUUAACACAUGCAAGUCGAACGGCAAGGCCCUGCUUUUGUGGGGUGAUCGAGUGGCGAACGGGUGAGUAACACGUGAGUAACCUGCUCUUGACUUUGGGAUAACUUCAGGAAACUGGGGCUACUACCGUAUAGGAGCUCCUGCUGCAUGGUGGGGGUUGGAAAGUUUCGGCGGUCGGGGAUGGACUCGCGGCUUAUCAGCUUGUUGGUGGGGUAGUGGCUUACCAAGGCUUUGACGGGUCGCCGGCCUGAGAGGGUGAACGGCGACAUUGGGACUGAGAUAGGGAGCAGACGCGAACGGUAGGCAGCGGUGGGAAACAUGGCACAAUGGGCGGGAGUCUGAGACAGCAACGCCGCGGGCGGGAUGACCGCCUUCGGGGUGUGAACCGCUGUCGCCUAAGACGAAGCGGGAGUGACGGUAAUGGGUAAAGAAGCACCGGCUAACUACGUG